GACGAACGCUGGCGGCGUGCUUAACACAUGCAAGUCGAACGAAGCUUGAUUACGGAUUCUUCGGAUGAAGUAUGAUAUGACUGAGUGGCGGACGGGUGAGUAACGCGUGAGUAACCUGCCCUUCAGAGGGGGGUAGCGUUUGGAAACGAACGGUAAUACCGCAUAAUGUAUUUUGACCGCAUGAUCGAAAUACCAAAGAUUUAUCGCUGAAGGAUGGACUCGCGUCUGAUUAGGUAGUUGGUGGGGUAACGGCCUACCAAGCCGACGAUCAGUAGCCGGACUGAGAGGUUGAUCGGCCACAUUGGGACUGAGACACGGCCCAGACUCCUCCGGGAGGCAGCAGUGGGGAAUAUUGCACAAUGGGCGCAAGCCUGAUGCAGCAACGCCGCGUGAAGGAAGACGGUUUUCGGAUUGUAAACUUCUGUUCUUAGUGAAGAAUAAUGACGGUAGCUAAGGAGCAAGCCACGGCUAACUACGUG
rnacentral:rRNA from 1 species